rnacentral:rRNA from 1 species
UACGGUGGGGGCAAGCGUUGUUCGGAAUUACUGGGCGUAAAGGGCUCGUAGGCGGCCAACUAAGUCAGACGUGAAAUCCCUCAGCUUAACUGGGGAACUGCGUCUGAUACUGGAUGGCUUGAGAUUGGGAGAGGGAUGCGGAAUUCCAGGUGUAGCGGUGAAAUGCGUAGAUAUCUGGAGGAACACCGGUGGCGAAGGCGGCAUCCUGGACCAACACUGACGCUGAGGAGCGAAAGCCAGGGGAGCAAACGGG